GACGAACGCUGGCGGCGUGCUUAACACAUGCAAGUCGAGCGGUAAGGCCCUUUCGGGGGUACACGAGCGGCGAACGGGUGAGUAACACGUGGGUGACCUGCCCUCAGCUCUGGGAUAAGCCUGGGAAACCGGGUCUAAUACCGGAUAUGACUCCAUGACGCAUGUUGUGGGGUGGAAAGCCUUGUGCGGCUGAGGAUGGGCCCGCGGCCUAUCAGCUUGUUGGUGGGGUGAUGGCCUACCAAGGCGACGACGGGUAGCCGGCCUGAGAGGGCGACCGGCCACACUGGGACUGAGACACGGCCCAGACUCCUACGGGAGGCAGCAGUGGGAAUCUUGCGCAAUGGGCGAAAGCCUGACGCAGCGACGCCGCGUGAGG
rnacentral:rRNA from 1 species